GGUAGCAACCAUAUCUAUCCACCAAUCCAAGAGAUUUCCAACAUUAUUGCAUUCUGAAAUAACAACCGAUAGGUUUCCAUCUGAUAUACCAUCAGAUACAGCAUCAGAUUCGAUGAUAUUCAUUGGGCUUGCUUUUUAGGUUUGCGACAAUCAAUGAAAUGAUGUCCAACAUUUCGACAAUUAUAAUAAUUACCCUUAAAUUUCU
rnacentral:lncRNA from 1 species